UAGGGAAUCUUCGGCAAUGGACGGAAGUCUGACCGAGCAACGCCGCGUGAGUGAAGAAGGUUUUCGGAUCGUAAAGCUCUGUUGUAAGAGAAGAACGAGUGUGAGAGUGGAAAGUUCACACUGUGACGGUAUCUUACCAGAAAGGGACGGCUAACUACGUGCCAGCAGCCGCGGUAAUACGUAGGUCCCGAGCGUUGUCCGGAUUUAUUGGGCGUAAAGCGAGCGCAGGCGGUUAGAUAAGUCUGAAGUUAAAGGCUGUGGCUUAACCAUAGUACGCUUUGGAAACUGUUUAACUUGAGUGCAAGAGGGGAGAGUGGAAUUCCAUGUGUAGCGGUGAAAUGCGUAGAUAUAUGGAGGAACACCGGUGGCGAAAGCGGCUCUCUGGCUUGUAACUGACGCUGAGGCUCGAAAGCGUGGGGAGCAAACAGGAUUAGAUACCCUGGUAGUCCACGCCGUAAACGAUGAGUGCUAGGUGUUAGACCCUUUCCGGGGUUUAGUGCCGCAGCUAACGCAUUAAGCACUCCGCCUGGGGAGUACGACCGNNGUUG
rnacentral:rRNA from 1 species